UCAGGUUUAGGUGUUUGCGAUCGGAGACGGAUCAACUGAACGCACUAAAGACAUCAUCAAGAGUACGGAGGACAUUCAUGUUCUGGUGCUGUUUAAUUUGAUUCAGAGCACACUAGUGCUGACCAACGCCCAGAUGAAGAACUACAGGCCCUUCCAGACGUUCUGUCUGUACACACACUAUAGAGAGGAGGUGUUGUGUGAGGCCUUCCAGACGUGUCGUAAUCGUGCGCUGGUGAACCGCCG